rnacentral:lncRNA from 1 species
CAGCGACUGGGGCCGUCUGCCGGGCGCAGGGACGGGCUAACCACCCGCCUGCGCUGCGGGCGCGGGUCCCGCCGUCAGUGGCGCUGCUAGCGGCCCGGGGUUUUCCUGGGCACACCCCUUCCGGCUUCAUACGGAGACCGUCAUAGCAAGCAACCUAGCCUCAUAGUACCGCGGUGUUUGGUGUCCCGUCCCGCCGCGGCCUCCUUGUGCUCUGACAGUAUUACUAACAGCACACAAAAGUCAGAAAGCAAAAUUUAUUUACUAUGAUUGCGUUUGGUAGUACGUGUAAGAUUCAGUUAGCGAGCAUAGUUGCUUGGCCACGACAUUGUCGCAUGCGGUCUUGCCGGCUUGCUGGGGCAGCGAUUGGGGCCGUCUGCCGGGCGCAGGGCCAGGCUAACCACCCGCCUGCGCUGCGGGCGUGGGCCCCGCCGUCAGUGGCGCUGCUAGCGGCCCGGGGUUUUCCUGGGCACACCCCUUCCGGCUUCAUACGGAGACCGUCACAGCAAGCAACCUAGCCUCAUAGUACCGCGGUGCCUGGUGCCCCGUCCCGCCGCGGCCUCCUUGUGCUCUGACAGUCAUAGACGACAACGCACAAUCGCGCAUCCCGGGCUUGAAACAAAGAAUGUUGCAAGGCACGAGCCCUGGCCCGUCCACACCAUCGUCC